rnacentral:rRNA from 1 species
AUUGAACGCUGGCGGCAGGCCUAACACAUGCAAGUCGAGCGGAUGAAGGGAGCUUGCUCCUGGAUUCAGCGGCGGACGGGUGAGUAAUGCCUAGGAAUCUGCCUGGUAGUGGGGGAUAACGUCCGGAAACGGGCGCUAAUACCGCAUACGUCCUGAGGGAGAAAGUGGGGGAUCUUCGGACCUCCCGCUAUAAGUUGAGCCUAGGUCGGAUUAGCUAGUUGGUGGGGUAAAGGCCUACCAAGGCGACGUUCCGUACCUGGUCUGAGAGGAUGAUCAGUCACACUGGAACUGAGACACGGUCCAGACUCCUACGGGAGGCAGCAGUGGGGAAUAUUGGACAAUGGGCGAAAGCCUGAUCCAGCCAUGCCGCGUGUGUGAAGAAGGUCUUCGGAUUGUAAAGCACUUUAAGUUGGGAGGAAGGGCAGUAAGUUAAUACCUUGCUGUUUUGACGUUACCAACAGAAUAAGCACCGGCUAACUUCGUG